rnacentral:rRNA from 1 species
AGGACGAACGCUGGCGGCGUGCCUAACACAUGCAAGUCGAACGGAGUUAAGACUUCGGGACUCGACUUAGUGGCGAACGGGUGAGUAACGCGAGAGAAACCUACCUUUCAGUGGGGGACAACAGUUGGAAACGACUGCUAAUACCGCAUGAUGUAUUCGGAGGGCAUCCUUUGAAUACCAAAGCUUUAUGUGCUGAAAGAUGGUCUCGCGUCUGAUUAGCUAGUUGGUGGGGUAACGGCUCACCAAGGCGACGAUCAGUAGCCGGUCUGAGAGGAUGAACGGCCACAUUGGGACUGAGACACGGCCCAAACUCCUACGGGAGGCAGCAGUGGGGAAUAUUGCACAAUGGGGGAAACCCUGAUGCAGCGACGCCGCGUGAGUGAUGAAGUAUUUCGGUAUGUAAAACUCUAUCAGCAGGGAAGAUAAUGACGGUACCUGACUAAGAAGCUCCGGCUAAAUACGUG